CAGGACACUUUUAUUAGGAAGUGUAUGACGAAGAAGGCUGGCCACAGAUCAUGGACUUUAGAACCAGUAUAUAUCUACUAUGAAAGAAAAGAGAAGCAUUAUCUCCAUUUAUAUCACAUGAAGGCAUCCAGCAGGGUCUCACUGAUGAGUUUAUUGACGAGUAUUGCAACUGCAGUCUGACAUGAUCGGUGUAAGUGAAACAUGGUUCUCGCCAAGCAAACCAUUACUCCAUAACACUAACAGGAUUCAAGCUUAUUCUUAAAGACCGCGAGACAAGAGGAGAUGGAGAUACCAUAUACGUGAAUCGUGCCAGCGUGUCGUAAAACUUGCCUCACGCAUUUCCUGGUGUGCGCAAGAAGGUCACAGAAUCUGUUGAUCAGCCAUGUGUAAGAGAGGGGGAGAGGGCGAGAGAGCGGCGAAGGCUGCCAAUAGUAUAUAAGGCGGGUGAGAGCGAAUUUCGGCAUCACUUGAAGACAGUGACUCGUCGAGACAACAGCAACAUGUUCAAGGCUGUGCUUGCAAUAAUCAGUGUGUUCCUGCUGAUGGUCGCCGCACUGGCCAGCGCCAUGCCGGAGCCGGGAUACCGUAGCUAUAGUGGCUAUGGCGGCGGACACGGCGGCGGCUUCGGUGGACAUGGAGGCGGCUAUGGUGGAUAUGGUGGAGGCCACGGUGGUGGCUACGGCGGCUACGGCUACGGGCGCUGAAGUUGAGGACUGAGAGAAAUCUUUUGUCUUGUUGUAUUACGUUGAGGGAUGAAAGUGAACGAACCGUUUCGAAACAAUAAAUAAAAAAUCACUUUAUAA